GACAGAGGGUGCAAACGUUGUUCGGAAUUACUGGGCGUAAAGCGCGUGUAGGCGGCUAUGCAAGUCGGAUGUGAAAGCCCUCGGCUCAACCGGGGAAGUGCAUCCGAAACUGGCCGGCUUGAGUACGGAAGAGGGUCUCGGAAUUCCCGGUGUAGAGGUGAAAUUCGUAGAUAUCGGGAGGAACACCAGUGGCGAAGGCGGAGACCUGGGCCGAUACUGACGCUGAGGUGCGAAAGCGUGGGGAGCAAACAGG
rnacentral:rRNA from 1 species